rnacentral:rRNA from 1 species
UACGAGAGCCCCAAGCGUUAUCCGGAAUUAUUGGGCGUAAAGGGUGCGUAGGCGGUUGUGUUAGUCAUGUGUUAAAGGCCCGAGCUUAACUUGGGAAAUGCACGCGAAACGGCACGACUUAGAGGAGAGGAGAGGUGUGCGGAACUCAUGGUGUAGGGGUGAAAUCCGUUGAUAUCAUGGGGAACACCAAAUGCGAAAGCAGCACACUGGCCUCUUUCUGACGCUGAGGCACGAAAGCGUGGGUAGCGAAUGGG